ACGUUAGCAGCUCCCUUUUCAUUUGGAAGCUCUCUGUGCACCGAGUAAGAUUUCUCAUUCUCUCUUUUAUUCUCUGUUGAAAUUAAUUGCGGUGAUAUAUUUGGUAGACUUGAUCUAAAUUAUGUGGCUAUUUAGUUGUUGUACUGUUGAGUUCUGAAGUUUUUCAAUUUACUCCAUAUACAUUUGUAUAUAAAAUAUCAAAUUGGCUUGGCGGAUGCGUUUGGUAGGGGUUUCUUUCUCAGACGCUCCACAAAAGGCCACUUAAAAAUAGAAGUGAAUGGUAUUUCAAAAGGCUAUAUACAAAUAAAAGUGAAUGAUAUUUGAAGUCUUAGGGGGUUUUCUUCAGUGAUGACUGCAAUGAUAGCUGAUUCAUCUCUCAAAACCAUAUAUAUUUUGUGCUCCUUAAAAGCCAUUACCAAAAUUGGACAAUGAUUGAAUAAAAGAGGCUGCUCUUGUCAGGAAUGUUCUGUAUGACUUGGUAUUUAGAGUUCAUUUUUUUGGUUGUGGGAGUUUUAAUUAUGGAACCAUGAAGGGUUUAGAUGAUAUAAGGAUGGAAUAUUGUAUGGAGGUUAUAUGUUUAUAUGUUUGGAUUUCAUGAAACUAGGAUUUUUAAAGUUUGCAUACCAUGUGUUUGUAUAAAUGUCAUAAAGAGGUUAAUUUGGUUAAAACAUGAAAAUUAACGGGUUCUCUUUGUAAAUUGAUGUACAUACAUGAGUUAUAAGUUAACUCAAGUUGUUUGCAAGUAUCGCCGUAUCGUGAUUUUGCAAGUAUAUUUUGACCUCUCUCUCAAAAGUUUCUGGUUCCGUCACUGCAGCGUGUGCGACUUGUCUUACAAAAAUGUUGCUACUGGUGCCAAAUGUGUGGUGUCAGAUCAUCAAGAGCUCAACACUGCAGAAGCUAGAUUGUGGCUCUUUUCUCUGUCUGUUUUAUCUUUUAAUUUCAGUUUUUUUCAACACCAAGACUACUGUGCUACAAAGAUACUACAUAGAUUUCUGGGCAUCUGGCCUUAUUUUUGUGAUGGUUUUAGGGAAUACCCACGUACCCAGUUGGUAUAUUAAUUUGUUUAGACUUAAAUUUACCCCUUUGGAAUGGUCGUACCUUCCUUAAAUCUCAUUGACUUGUUUAUGUCCA
rnacentral:lncRNA from 1 species